UACAGAGGUCCCAAGCGUUGUUCGGAUUCACUGGGCGUAAAGGGUGCGUAGGCGGUCGGGUAAGUCUGACGUGAAAUCUCCGGGCCUAACCCGGAAACUGCGUUGGAAACUGCCUGGCUAGAGGAAUGGAGGGGAGACUGGAAUACUUGGUGUAGCAGUAAAAUGCGUAGAUAUCAAGUGGAACACCAGUGGCGAAGGCGAGUCUCUGGACAUUUCCUGACGCUGAGGCACGAAAGCCAGGGGAGCAAACGGG
rnacentral:rRNA from 1 species